UAGCCUGCCCAGUGACAUUAAAGUUCAACGGCCGCGGUAGCUGACCGUGCUAAGGUAGCAUAAUCACUUGUCCCUUAAUUGGGGACUGGUAUGAACGGCUGAACAAGAAAUCGACUGUCUCGACUAUAAAUUUGAAAUUAACGUUUAAGUGAAAAGGCUUAAAUAGGAUAGGGGGACGAUAAGACCCUAUAAAUCUUGAUAACCAAAGUAAUAAUUUUAUGUAGUAGUCAUAAGCUUAAAUUUAAUACUUUUGUUAUUUUGUUGGGGCUACAGGGGGUAUAAUUAAUAACUGCGGUUGGGAAAAAUAAUUAAUUAUUUUUAUUGUGUUGUGUUUAAGAUCCUUCUUUGAAGAUACAGGUCAAGUUACUUUAGGGAUAACAGCGUAAUCUUCUUUGAGAGUUCAUAUCGAAAGGAGGGGUUGCGACCUCGAUGUUGAAUUAAAGAACCUUUAUGGUGCAGCAGC
rnacentral:rRNA from 1 species